rnacentral:rRNA from 1 species
UCCAGACUCCUACGGGAGGCAGCAGUGGGGAAUAUUGGACAAUGGGGGGAACCCUGAUCCAGCGACGCCGCGUGAGUGAAGAAGUAUUUCGGUAUGUAAAGCUCUAUCAGCAGGGAAGAAAGAAAUGACGGUACCUGACUAAGAAGCCCCGGCUAACUACGUGCCAGCAGCCGCGGUAAUACGUAGGGGGCAAGCGUUAUCCGGAUUUACUGGGUGUAAAGGGGGCGCAGACGGCCAUGGCAAGCCCGGUGUGGAAGGCAGGGGCAUAACCCCUGGACUGCACUGGGAACUGUCAGGCUGGAGUGCCGGAGGGGUAAGCGGAAUUCCUGGUGUAGCGGUGAAAUGCGUAGAUAUCAGGAGGAACACCGGCGGCGAAGGCGGCUUACUGGACGGAAACUGACGUUGAGGCCCGAAAGCGUGGGGAGCGAACAGGAUUAGAUACCCGGGUA